rnacentral:rRNA from 1 species
UACGUAGGGACCGAGCGUUGUCCGGAUUCAUUGGGCGUAAAGAGCUCGUAGGCGGCCACUCAAGUCGAAUGUGAAACCUCGAGGCUUAACCUCGAGCCUGCAUUCGAUACUGGGCGGCUAGAGUCUGGUAGGGGGAUCUGGAAUUCCUGGUGUAGCGGUGGAAUGCGCAGAUAUCAGGAGGAACACCGGUGGCGAAGGCAGCACUCUGGGACGUGACUGACGCUGAGACGCGAAAGCGUGGGGAGCAAACAGG